rnacentral:lncRNA from 1 species
UGGUGAUCAGGUCUGAAAACACUUGUAAUGUAUUGCCAUCUAUAAGGUAAGUUUAUAUGUCAAGGUGGCAAUAAGAAAAAUCGGAUUCUUUUACGAAUCUGUUGCUAUCUAGACAGAAAUUCACAUUAAACAGAAAUUCCCUUUCACUACUUUUGUAAAGUUCCUCCACAAACAGGGACAUAGUUGCUGCAGGACAGCAUAAAAAAGCAUUGGCAACUCCUCUCAUAUAGGACAUAUCAUCAGAAUGCAACCAAUUGAGUCAGGUUCUGUAUUGCAAAGAUUGCAAUUAGACUUUUCCCUUAAAUCUCUUAAUUUAAAAAAAAAAAAAAAGGUCAUAUUGUCAUAAAACCGAACGGUUUGCCUGAAACGCAGAUACACCAGGAAACCAUUUACAGAGAUUUUAUUUAACUGAGAUAAUCACAGGGGAAAGGGAAUCUGGGGUAGGAAUGAAUAAGGGGACAAGAAGGCAACUGGUACUGGAGAGGGGAUCCUAGGGGCUGGAUCACAGAGGGGAGAGUGGCAACGAGGAACGGAGGAAUGAGGAAGGGUCUGCAAGAAGAUGGAGAAGCAUUUAUUGUCAUGAGGUAAGGAGCUGGUAACAGAAAGGAGUUUGCUGGUGAGUUUGUUCCUCUUACUUGCAGGGCUCUGAGGAGGUGAGGUCCGUGGAAGUGUUCAGAGGUAGUUGAGCAGCCAGAUUAUCUGGGAUGCAGUGGCAGGCAGGAGGGCAGGCAAGCAGGCAGGGAAGGCAGCCAGAGAUUCCCAGAGCAGAGGAAAGGAAGUUCACUCCCGGUCACGGCUAUCAGUCUGAAAGCAGCAGUUUAAGGCGUUUCUACGCUCAGGACGAAUAUAUGCCUUUGUGUUUCUGAUGGAAACUACUUUUAGUGGUGCCAGCUGACAUUUGGGAAGGACUGAUUCGCUGUUCACCUUUAAUGUAUCAUUGCAACAGCUGUAUGCUGAGGGAUUACAAAGUUACCAAAGCGGAGACUAUUUAAACUUAAAUGCUUACUGUCUCAUUACACUCAAAGGGUUGGGAUUUCCUUAGCUGACCUAAUGAGACACAUUUUCGAAAUAGUAUAUAUUAAAAAUGCAGUCAUAGAUUUUGACCUUUUUGGAUGUUUUUUUUGUUUUUGUUUCUUUUUUGCUCCUCAUGUGACUGUCUCUGUGAUCACUGCCUGAAAUAAAGGUUUGCAUUAUUUGGGACUUUAAUUGUGCCUUGUGUGUCUUGUUUUUGGUUCAUCUUCCUUGUGGACGAUUAUGUUCUUUUUAGUGUAAUUACUGUGAGUCACACAUGUAUACAUGUGUAUAUAUAUACAAGUAAUGGAUCCAGACUCUAUGCUGCGCUAGCUUGUGAAACUACUACUGGGUAUUUAUAGCUAGCCUAAGCAACAUGCUAAUUACCCUUUUAACUGCAUCUGUGUUCUAAAAAUAACAUUCCAGUAUAUCUAUAUUAUAUUUUGAAGGUAAUUCUUUUUCCAGGUUACAUUU